UAUGACGUCGUCAUGACGACAGUUUCACUACUGAUAUCGCCAUUAUUGUCGCUAUCAUACUGCUAUCAUAUUGCCGCUUUUUCUGCCUGUUUGUCUCACAUAGUGCUCGUCUCAGUUUAUGAACACUAUGAGUUCAUACUCCCAAGCUGUUGACCUCGUGAUCAGGUUCCCCUUGAACUUUGACAUCUUCGCCCCUCCUCGCCAAGGAGGAGAGCGGUAGCCAUCCACUCGCCGAAUAGCCUGGAUAUUUCCAGCUGAUGUGUAUCGCGCCAGUUUUAUAUAUAUGUAUCUAUGAAAUGUAAUAAAAUCAUACUGUAAAA